CCCUUAGAUGUUCUGGGCCGCACGCGUGCUACACUGAGUGGAUCAGCGGGUCAGGUUGCGCGAAAGCGUUUCCUAAUCUUUAAAUCCGCUCGUGAUGGGGAUUGACGGUUGCAAUUUUCUGUCAUGAACGAGGAAUACCUUGUAAGCGCGGGUCAUCAUCCCGCGCUGAAUACGUCCCUGCCCUUUGUACGCACCGCCCGUCGCUCCUACCGAUUGAGUGGUCCGGUGAGGCUUUGGGAUCUGAGCGGAAAGAGCGUUUCGCUGUUUCUGCUCGGAAAACUCAGUCGAACCUUAUCAUUUAGAGGAAGGAGAAGGCGUAACA
rnacentral:rRNA from 1 species